rnacentral:lncRNA from 1 species
UUUUUUGUGCAUUUCCUUUUCAAAUCUUCGUCUUAUCUAUGGUUGUCGAAUGCUUUAAUUUAUUUGUUUCAGAUGACAAAAUUUAUUAAUAUCUUUCACCAAAAAAAAAAAUUUCUUGAGUGGUUUUUACUAGUGCAGAUUAAAUUAAAUUAAAGUUAAAUUUAAAUGUUUAUAUAUAUCAUGUUAAAAGGUGAAUAUUUAAAAUUAGAUGAUAGCUGUGAUUAAAUGAUCAUGAAUCUUAAAUUACUCUUUUGUCAUUUCAAAGCUAUACUUAAUUAUAAUUUAGUGUAGAUGAAUCCUUUUGUGACACAUGGAAAUUAGGGCAUGAUGUAUUAUCAAAUUUAGGUUUAUUUCUUUGCCC